GAUCAUGCUCAGGAUGAACGCUGGCGGCGUGCCUAACACAUGCAAGUCGAGCGAAGCACUUUGCUUAGAUUCUUCGGAUGAAGAGGAUUGUGACUGAGCGGCGGACGGGUGAGUAACGCGUGGGUAACCUGCCUCAUACAGGGGGGAUAACAGUUAGAAAUGACUGCUAAUACCGCAUAAGACCACAGCACCGCAUGGUGCGGGGGUAAAAACUCCGGUGGUAUGAGAUGGACCCG
rnacentral:rRNA from 1 species